AGCCCUAUGGAUUCAGUUCUGUA
rnacentral:miRNA from 14 species